rnacentral:lncRNA from 1 species
GGCUGGAAGACCAGCGUUGGCUGAGGCUGUUAAUGCAAGACUCACAAAAAAAGUAAGGUAAACAGGCGAUUCUGCAGAGGACAGUUAUUCCCUAAGGGUUGUCUAAGAAGCUUACUUACUUCAAAUGUUUGCUACUGCCUGAAAUAAAGUCAGUUUUUCUAGCGUACAUCCAUAUUCUUUUCUGUAUGGAUGGGAAUAUUUUGGUAAUGGUGAGAGAUAAUCAUGGCACAUUAAAAAAUAAACAGGACAACUGUCAUCAUUCACGUAGCUGAAGCCAAAGAAAAUGAAGCUCAGGAUGACAGGACAAGAGAGCGUUACAGACCGGCAGCUGGGAGAGCAUCCCUUCCUUACUCUGGGAGUAUCAGCCUGGGCGGUGUCAACCCCAUCUACCAGCUUUCACUGAAGUUAUUUCUAUUGCAGGCAAAAAGAUUGGGUUCACUAUAGGUUCAGGAAGAUUUCAUAACAUCACUCUAGGACAAAAGCAGGAGAUGGUUGCAAAGGAGGCGCUCAAGAAAGCUGCCCCACAUGGCCAUUGGGUUCUUUUCCAAUUGCCUGCAACAAAUGAAGAGAUGGGUUAGAGCCAGUGUUUUCUGCCAGAGGAAACAAAACCACCAUGGGAUUUAUGAGGGGCCCUGAUGUGCUGGGCACUGUGGGGACAUGCACAAACUGCCCCCCUCAUCAGCAAUGAAACUGGAAAUGUGCUUGACCAUAUUUCAUGUGAGUGAGCUAAUCAUGCCAGUCUGAAAACAAUCCUGCAUAGAAAUGUUGUGUAAGGAAGAGUCAAGUUUGUUUUCAGGGGAAUUUUAGGGUUUUCAGCUGCUCUGGGUGGCAGAAUGAAAAAAUGG